CCUAAGAAUAAAGAAAUUUUUAAGAGAUAAAAGUAUUUCAUGGCCAAUGUUUGUAUUAAUGGAUCAUUCCCUUAAGGGGAGGAUACCAUUUAUUGUCAUGUGGUUGGUAAUAAGCAAUGUAAAUUCCUGAAAUUUUGAGAUUGUGAUUGCUGCUUAAUACAUAAAAUAUUAACUAAUACAGUACCCGAAGUAGGAUGUUGUCAUUCCUAAGUUAUAUGGUAUUGUCCUCAGGGUCAACUAGCAAAUGGCAAGGAAACUUAGGGAUGACCUGAAAGAUGGUGAUCUAUGCUUCAUAAUGAUAAGCUCUUAAUGAAACCAUCACAAUAAUUUAAAGACAAUACCUAGUUAAUUCAUGGCUUUAGGUGAUGUGGGGAAUGUUAGCAUGUUUGGUCCUACUAACUACAUUUCACAAGAUACUAUAAGAAAAGUGAAUCUAGGAAAUAACUGCCCAGUUUGCAAACAGCAUUGAAAGGGAAUAUACAGAGCCCCCAAAUUCUAAGACUUAGAGGCUAAACAAUGGAACUAUAUUUUCUAUGGGUAAAGGAUAGAAUUGAGAAAUUAUUUUUAUUAGUAAAGUCUGGAGACAAAUAUUAAAUCACAGGUCUUUAUCCCCUUAAUUAAAACCUUAAUUUGGAUUAAGGUACACUUCAUUGAAUCCUUAUUUUGGCUAAAAUGACAGCAAUUAAGUCUAAUGAGACAGGUAACUCUUGAGACACAAACAUGUCUGAAAGAUUAUGGCACUGGCUGGAAUCAAUAACAAGAACUGAUUUAAAACAUUCUUUGGCCUUUGAAUAUUCCAUGUGCAAGAAACAAUGAGGGGGGAAAAAUACAGGAUGAAGAAGCUGCUCAGCACCUAAGACUGGUAUAAUCACUACUUUUGGAUGUAGCCAAAGUUUAUACUGGAAGAAGAAAAUAACCUCCCAAAGAAUGGAGCUGAAGGUCAUGAAAAAUAAGACUAGGAAGCUAGAUAAUGAAGGAAACUUCAAGGAAAAGCAAAAAUACCCAUCUCCACACAAGGGGCCCUCAAAAGGUUUGCCUACUAGGAUUUCAGAAUUUGUGCACCAGUAAUUGUAGUGUGCCUUAUAUUUUUCCAUUUCUGAAAUGAGACUAUUAAUUAUGGUUAUCUGUCUCCAUUCCCCAUUGUAUGGUGAAUAGAAUUCAGGGGGUAGAUAACUUGGCAUGUCAUUGGUCUGUAGUUAAAGGAACAAACCACAGACUAUAUAUAAUGACAAAAUCCUGUAUUUUGGAAUAUUGGUACUGAGAUUAGAGGUAUUUUCCUUGAAGAAAGAAUCAAGUAUCUGUGACCAAGAGGACAAAUGGGUAGACCAUAGGACUGGUCCCAACUGUUUGUUCUUUUUCUACAAGGGGAUUAUACAUCCAUGCCAAGUGACUUCCUGUGAUUACCUAUGAAAAGAAUAUACUUUCCAGUCCUACUGGUGUAUGAUUUGGCUUUGUGAGAUGCUUUGGUCAAUGAAAUAUAAGCAGAAGUGACAUAUGCCAUGCCUAAGUAGAAGUUUUAGAUCCACUGCAUAGGUUGGCCAUUUCUAUUUUACCUCUCCUAGGAAAAUGACAUAUCUCAGAUGGGAACUGCCCCUUCACCUGGAUCUAGGAAUGUGCAAGCAAGACUCAUGGAGCUGAUGUGUAACCUGAGCAAAUUAUUAUAAGCCCUUGAAAUGUUGGAGUUUGCUACUAUUACAAUAUAAUACAGUGAAUGCUGACUGGUACAAAUUUAACAUACAUCUGGCCCUCUGUAUCUGAAGGUUCUAUAUCUGUGGAUUCAACCUACCUUGGAUUGAUGAAAAUGAGUUACUGAAAAGAGCCCUUCAUGAAUACCAAGGGACUACUGUGUUAACUAUUCAACUUACCUUAGAAACACUAAGGUCACAGAGAGAGACUUUAUUAAUACCAGGGAUCGAACUCAGGACCUUGCGCUUGCAAGGCAGGCGGCAGAACCACUGAGCUAAAUCUCCAGCCCUGUUUAGCAUUUUUGUAUGGAUUAAAAGCACCCAUAAAAUUACAGUAUUGAAUUUGCAUACAGGUACACUAAUUUGUCAUAAUUUUACUGCCAAAUAAAAUAUUUUACUUGAAAUGUUUUUGCCAAGUAAAAUUUAGUCCAUAUUCAUAUGUAUAUAUAUUUGUUGUUGUUGUACUGGCCUUACUUUAAGUUAUAUCCCUAUCCCCAUCUUCCUUCCCUCUUUUCUUUUCUUUCCUUUUGUUUUCUUUUUUGAGACAGGGUCUCACUAUGUUCAGACUAGCCUUGAACUCACUAUGUAGCUCUGGCUGGCCUCAAACUUAACAUAAUCCCCCUGCUCAGUUCCCCUAGUGCUGGGAUUACAGGCAUGUGCCACCAUCCCUGGCUAUCCUUUUUAUUUUUUUAACAUAAGUUCUCCCUAAAUUGCCCAGGCUGACCUCAAACUUGUGACCCUCCUGCCUCAGCCUCCUAAGUAGCUGGAUUAUAGGCAUGUGUUCCUGUACCUGG